rnacentral:tRNA from 1 species
GCUACGGUAGCCGAGUGGGUAAAGCAUUUGAAUAUUGAUGGUUCGAAUCCAUCCGGGAGCA